GGGCCCGCACAAGCGGUGGAGCAUGUGGUUUAAUUCGAUGCAACGCGAAGAACCUUACCUACCCUUGACAUCAUCAGAACUUGUUAGAGAUAACUCGGUGCCUUCGGGAACUGGUUGACAGGUGCUGCAUGGCUGUCGUCAGCUCGUGUCGUGAGAUGUUGGGUUAAGUCCCGCAACGAGCGCAACCCUUAUCCUUAGUUGCCAGCACGUAAUGGUGGGGACUCUAAGGAGACUGCCGGUGACAAGCCGGAGGAAGGCGGGGACGACGUCAAGUCAUCAUGGCCCUUACGGGUAGGGCUACACACGUGCUACAAUGGUCGGUACAGAGGGUUGCCAAGUCGCGAGGCGGAGCUAAUCUCAGAAAGCCGGUCAUAGUCCGGAUUGCAGUCUGCAACUCGACUGCAUGAAGUCGGAAUC
rnacentral:rRNA from 1 species